UGGGGAAUAUUGCACAAUGGGCGCAAGCCUGAUGCAGCCAUGCCGCGUGUGUGAAGAAGGCCUUCGGGUUGUAAAGCACUUUCAGCGAGGAGGAAGGUGGUGAGCUUAAUACGCUCAUCAAUUGACGUUACUCGCAGAAGAAGCACCGGCUAACUCCGUGCCAGCAGCCGCGGUAAUACGGAGGGUGCAAGCGUUAAUCGGAAUUACUGGGCGUAAAGCGCACGCAGGCGGUUUGUUAAGUCAGAUGUGAAAUCCCCGGGCUCAACCUGGGAACUGCAUUUGAAACUGGCAAGCUAGAGUCUCGUAGAGGGGGGUAGAAUUCCAGGUGUAGCGGUGAAAUGCGUAGAGAUCUGGAGGAAUACCGGUGGCGAAGGCGGCCCCCCUGGACGAAGACUGACGCUCAGGUGCGAAAGCGUGGGGCAGCAAACAGGAUUAGAUACCCUGGUAGUCCACGCUGUAAACGAUGUCGAUUUGGAGGUUGUGCCCCUUGAGGCGUGGCUUCCGGAGCUAACGCGUUAAAUCGACCGCCUGGGGGAGUACGGCCGCAAGGUUAAAACUCAAAUGAAUUG
rnacentral:rRNA from 1 species